rnacentral:lncRNA from 1 species
CACUCUUAUCCCCCAAUCUUGGGCCUGUCCUUUAACUGAAAGAAAGACACCCUUUUCUACCCUUUUGAUGUUUCAUCUGAAUCCUUGGCAAAAGUAUAGCUUAUAAUUUUUUAAUUAAGAUGCCUGUGUUUGAGAAGGUGGUGACAACUGAACUCCAGGCUCAUCUGGUUUAUCACAUGCUCCAGGACAGGUUUGGGUCUGGGUUUCAAUCAGGUCAUAACAUGAAGUCAGUAUCUGUGAUCAUUGCAUUAUUCACAGGAGCAGAGGCUUGUGGAAAUAAAGGGAGGCACUCCAGUCCCCAACACACCCAGUGUCUUUUCACUCUGUCAUUGGACGGAAAUUUCUCCCCACUGGAUCGGGACUUGAAGAUUUCGCGAGACUUGUUGCUUACCUUGCAAGAGAUCGUCUUUCUCUUUGGCACCCUGAAUAAUUUUGACUCACUUGGACAAAUAAUUCAGAGUAUUUACAGAUACCACUUGACAGGGGAUUUGCCAAUACUUAGGCAAACUUUGGUUUGGUGUAACUGGUGGGCUGUCGUGCAAAGCCAGGAGGCUAGCAGUAGCUUUACUAUAAGUUCCCUACCAAGGAGCAGUAACUCAUUAAGUCCUUCACAACUUUUUCAUUUUAGCUCCUGUUGAGUGGUAGGCAGCAUGGUCCUGUGGGGUUGAGACUAGAGUCAGCUAAGUUUGAUUGGGACAAGGAUUGUGAAAUCUGAGCCUGAGGCUCUCAGUGAAAGAGUCAGGCACAACACAGUAGAGAGAGGUCAAAGUCAGCCACGGGACAAAUGGAGAGGACUGCAAAUGACAAACUUAUUUUGGAGAGAUAUGUGGUGUGCAUUAGUAGGCAUGGCUGAGAGUUCCCAGAGGCUGAGGCCAUCCCUUUAAGGACUGAAACCAUAAUGUCAGCUGUUGUUGAUGUUCAUGUCCUACACACUGUUAAAUAUUGCUAAGCUUUGGGAGGAAAUGUUGGCCCCAUCAUAUGUCACAGUCAACCCGGGGCAGUCUCUGUUUAUGCUGAUGGUCCCAAGCUCAUUAUUAACAGCACCCCUUUCAUUCUCAAAAGUC